AUGAUGAUGAUGAUGAUGACGAUGACGGAGGAGAGAGAGUGUAUGAGAGGAGAGAGAGUGAGUCACAUUGUGUGUGAUGAUGAUGAUGAUGAUGACGGAAGAGAGAGAGUGAGUCACAUUGUGUGUGAUGAUGAUGAUGAUGAUGGGAGGAGAGUGAGUCACAUUGUGUGAUGAUUGAUGAAGGAAGAGAGCGAGUGUAUGAGAGGAGAGAGAGUGAGUACCAUUGUGUGUGAUGAUGAUGAUGAUGAUGCGGAGGAGAGAGAGUGAGUCACAUUGUGUGAUGAUGAUGACGGAGAGAGCAGUGUUGAGAGAGAGAAGAGAGUGGUCACAUGGUUGUGAUGAUAUGAGAUGACGGAAGGAGAGAGUGAGUCACAUUGUGUAUGAUAUGACGGAAGAGAGCGAGUGUAUGAGAGGAGAGAGAGUGAGUCACAUUGUGUGUAUGAUGAUGAUGAUGACGGAAGAGAGAGAGUGAGUCACAUUGGUGUGAGAUGAUGACGGAAGGAGCGAGUGUAUGAGAGAGAGGAGAGUGAGUCACAUUGUGUGAUGAUGAUGAUGAUGACGGAAAGAGGAGUGAGUCAUUGUGUGUGAUGAUGAUGAUGAUGACGGAGGAGAGAGAGUGAGUCACAUUGUGUGAUGAUGAUGAUGACGGAAGAGAGCGAGUGUAUGAAGAGAGAGAGAUGAGUCACAUUGGUGUGUGAUGAGAUGAUGAUGACGGAGGAGAAGAGUGAGUCACAUUGUGUGAUGAUGAUGAUGAAAGGAAGAGAGCGAGUGUAUGAGAGGAGAGGAGUGAGUACAUUGGGUGUGAUGAUGCAUGAUGAUGACGGAAGAAGAGAGAGUGAGUCAAAUUGUGUGUGUGAUGAUGAUUGAUGAUGAUGAAGAGAGGAGUGAGUCCAUUGUGUGUGUGGAUGAUGUGAUGACGGAAGAGGAGAGUGUGUCCUAAGUUGUUACCAUUUAUAAUGUAUGUACAUGUAAUUUAGAGGUCUAUAAAUAUAUAUGUACAAAGUAUACAUGUUAAUGUGUUGUGUCGUGUGUGUGUGUGUGUGUGUGGGCGAGUCAGAUAGAGAGAGUGUGUGAGAGAGAGAGUCAGUGUGUGAGAGUGCGAGUAAGAGAGAGAGUGUGAGAGUGUAAGACAGAGAGAUAGAGCGUGUGAGAGGAGAGAGAGUCAUGUGGGUGAGAGGCGAGAAGUGGGUGAGAGGAGAGAGUGGGUGAGAGUGUGUGAGAGGAGAGUGUGUGGGGAGAGAUGUGUGAGAGGGAUAGAGUCGUGUGUGAGAGGCGAGAAAGGGGUGAGUGAGAGAGUGUGUGAGAGGAACGAGUGUGUGAGGGAAGAGUGUGUUGCGGAGAGUUGUGUGAGAGGAGAGUGUGUUGAGAGUGAGAGAGAGAGAGAUGUGAGAGAGAGAGAGAGAGUGGAGAGUAGAGAGAGAGAGGUGAGAGGAGGGGUGUGAGGAGAGGGUGUGCGGAGAGCGAAAGUGUGAGCGGCGCGCGCCGGGUGAGCGGAGAGCGGUUGCGAGGAGCGCGAG
rnacentral:lncRNA from 1 species